AGAGUUUGAUCCUGGCUCAGAAUCAACGCUGGCGGCGCGCUUAACACAUGCAAGUCGCACGAGAAAGUGGAGCAAUCCAUGAGUAAAGUGGCGUACGGGUGAGUAACACGUGGAUCAUUUACCUCUUGGUGGGGAAUAACCCUGGGAAACCGGGGCUAAUACCGCAUAAGCCUGCGAAGGGAAAGCAGCAAUGCGCCGAGAGAGGAGUCCGCGGCCGAUUAGCUUGUUGGUAGGGUAAUGGCCUACCAAGGCAAUGAUCGGUAGCCGGCCUGAGAGGGCACACGGCCACACUGGCACUGAAACACGGGCCAGACUCCUACGGGAGGCAGCAGUGGGGAAUCUUGCACAAUGGGGGCAACCCUGAUGCAGCGACGCCGCGUGAGCGAUGAAGCCCUUCGGGGUGUAAAGCUCUUUCGGCAGGAACGAUAAUGACGGUACCUGCAGAAGAAGCUGCGGCUAACUACGUGCCAGCAGCCGCGGUAAUACGUAGGCAGCAAGCGUUGUUCGGAGUUACUGGGCGUAAAGAGUGUGUAGGCGGUUCUCUAAGUUCCGUGUGAAAUCUCCCGGCUCAACUGGGAGGGUGCGCGGAAAACUGGAGGGCUUGAGUAUGGGAGAGGAAAGCGGAAUUCCUGGUGUAGCGGUGAAAUGCGUAGAUAUCACGAGGAACACCUGCGGUGUAGACAGCUUUCUGGACCAUCACUGACGCUGAGACACGAAAGCGUGGGUAGCAAACAGGAUUAGAUACCCUGGUAGUCCACGCCCUAAACGAUGCAUACUUGGUGUGAGCCGUUCAUUCGGUUCGUGCCGGAGCUAACGCGUUAAGUAUGCCGCCUGGGGAGUACGUCGCAGGCUGAAACUCAAAGGAAUUGACGGGGGCCGCACAAGCGGGGGAGCAUGUGGUUUAAUUCGACGCAACGCGAGACCUUACCUGGCCUCGAACGGCUUUGGAUCACUGUGAAACACGACUUCCCCAGACCGGAUCAAGGGCUGCAUGCUGUUCUCACUCCGUCCGGA
rnacentral:rRNA from 1 species